GUAAAGUUAGCUCAGUUGGUAGAGCGCUCCACCUGUAAUGGAGAGGUCCCGGGUUCGAUACCCGGACCAGGCG
rnacentral:tRNA from 2 species